rnacentral:rRNA from 2 species
AAAAGAAACCAACAGGGAUUGCCCUAGUAACGGCGAGUGAAGCGGCAACAGCUCAGAUUUGAAAUCUGGCGUCUUUGGCGUCCGAGUUGUAAUCUGUAGAGGAUGCUUUUGGGUAGCCACCGGUCUAAGUCCCCUGGAACGUGGCGUCACAGAGGGUGAGAAUCCCGUAUGUGACCGGAAGGGCGCCCUUCACAUAGCUCCUUCGACGAGUCGAGUUGUUUGGGAAUGCAGCUCUAAAUGGGAGGUAAAUUCCUUCUAAAGCUAAAUACCGGCCAGAGACCGAUAGCGCACAAGUAGAGUGAUCGAAAGAUGAAAAGCACUUUGGAAAGAGAGUUAAAAAGCACGUGAAAUUGUUGAAAGGGAAGCGCUUGCAACCAGACUUGUUGGCGGUGUUCCGCCGGUCUUCUGACCGGUCUACUCACCGUCUGCAGGCCAGCAUCAUCUGGGGCCGCUGGAUAAAAGCGAGGGGAAUGUGGCUCCCCCGGGAGUGUUAUAGCCCCUCGUGCAAUACAGCGAGCCUCGGGUGAGGUCCGCGCUUCGGCUAGGAUGCUGGCGUAAUGGUCGUAAGCGGCCCGUCUUGAAACACGGACCAAGGAGUCUAACAUCUAUGCGAGUGUUCGGGUGUCAAACCCCUACGCGUAAUGAAAGUGAACGGAGGUGGGAGCCUUAGGGUGCACCAUCGACCGAUCCUGAUGUCUUCGGAUGGAUUUGAGUAAGAGCAUAGCUGUUGGGACCCGAAAGAUGGUGAACUAUGCCUGGAUAGGGUGAAGCCAGAGGAAACUCUGGUGGAGGCUCGCAGCGGUUCUGACGUGCAAAUCGAUCGUCAAAUUUGGGUAUAGGGGCGAAAGACUAAUCGAGCCAU